UACUUUUUAGUGAGUUUGAUCUUCUUCAAAAAAUUUAUGCUUGUUCUCAACUUAAUUUUUAAAAGGUAUUCAAAUUUUGAAUUAAAAUAAAUGGUUUAUUCAUUAGGUAUUGAGGUUUAAAUCUACUAUAAGUAUUACUUGGAAUUAUUUAAGAUUUGGUUAGGAUUUGACUAGGAUUUGAUUAAAGUUUGUUUAGGAUUUGAUUAAGAUUUGGUUAGGAUUUGAUUAGGAUUUAUUUAGAAUUUGGUUAGGAUUUGUUUAAGGUUUGAUUAGGAUUUGUUUAGAGUUUGACUAGGAUUUGAUUAAGGUUUUUUUAGGAUUUUAAUAGAAUUUGAUUAGGAUUUGUUAGGAUUUGACUAGAGUUUAAUUUAGAUUUCUAUUUUAAUAUUUUAUUAAAUUUUCUAUUUUAGUAUAUUUUUAAAU
rnacentral:lncRNA from 1 species